CCAUUAUUUUGUGGGAGUGCCUUGGUUGAGAGGAACAGCAUUCAGACUGACCUUGAAACGAGAAGAGGGAAUCUGUUACAAGAUAAUGUCCAGCAGGAACUCCUAAUUUCAGUUCCGAAGAAACAAGUUGGGAAUCGCUGCUGGGCCACCAACAUAGCAAAAGAAGAUGGCUGUGGGAAAAGAGCUCUGCAUUCUCUUUGUGCAAGACACAACUCCAACUGUAGCCUGUGGCUGACUCCAUCUCUUGAUAAAUUGGAAGUGAAACCAUCUUUCUUCUGGCUCUCUAGAGACCUGAAAUACUCUACUUCUUCUGGACAUAACAGGAAGGUACAGUAGUCUGUCGUGACUUGUUGAUUAACAGCAUCUAAUGGGCACAUGUUUGGUGGAAAGAUGAUUUCCUACGACUACCUCUUUCGGUAAGUAUCCAUUUGCUAACACAGACUCUUUGAAGAUCUGCACUGGUAAGUAUAUAUGCUUCUUAAAAAUGAAACUCGAUAUGUUUGGACAUGCCUAUUUAGGAAAUUUGGUUCAAAAGAGAAUGCUAAUUUCACAGCAUUGCCAAGUUUUCUUGGUCAGAUCUGUUGGGGAAACCUGUUCCCUCCAUCUUAAACCCUGAAGGAAUAGGGUUGAAGGUUAAUUAAUCAAUCAACCUAAUAGCCCCAAGGCCAAUUUGUCAGUUGAGGGUGUUUAUUGAUCACCUGGUGAGAGAUAUAGGAUGAAUAGCUAGCUAUGGAUGAAGGGUCCAGAAUGACUCAUUAAAGGAAUCAUGAAGGAUGGGAGUGUGAAGAA
rnacentral:lncRNA from 1 species